rnacentral:rRNA from 1 species
UACAGAGGUCCCGAGCGUUGUUCGGAUUUAUUGGGCGUAAAGGGGGCGUAGGUGGCAAAGUAAGUUGGAUGUGAAAUCCUGGGGCUUAACCUCAGAAUUGCAUUCAAUACUGCUUAGCUAGAGAGCUGUAGAGGAGACUGGAAUUUACGGUGUAGCAGUGAAAUGCGUAGAUAUCGUAAGGAACGCCAGUGGCGAAAGCGAGUCUCUGGGCAGCAUCUGACACUGAGGCACGAAGGCCAGGGGAGCAAACGGG